rnacentral:rRNA from 1 species
UCCGGUUGAUCCUGCCAGAGGCCGCUGCUAUCCGGCUGGGACUAAGCCAUGCUAGUCUAGGGGCUUGUACUCCUUCGGGGGUGCAAGCACCGGCGGACGGCUCAGUAACACGUGGACAACCUGCCCUCGGGUGGGGGAUAACCCCGGGAAACUGGGGCUAAUCCCCCAUAGGUGAUGGGUGCUGGAAUGCCCCAUCUCCGAAAGCGCUUAGCGCCCGAGGAUGGGUCUGCGGCGGAUUAGGUAGUUGGUGGGGUAACGGCCCACCAAGCCUAAGAUCCGUACGGGCUGUGGGAGCAGGAGCCCGGAGAUGGACCCUGAGACAAGGGUCCAGGCCCUACGGGGCGCAGCAGGCGCGAAACCUCCGCAAUGCGGGAAACCGCGACGGGGUUAGCCGGAGUGCCCGUGCAUUGCACGGGCUGUCGGGGUGCCUAAACAGCACCCCAUAGCAAGGGCCGGGCAAGGCCGGUGGCAGCCGCCGCGGUAAGACCGGCGGCCCGAGUGGCGGCCACUCUUAUUGGGCCUAAAGCGUCCGUAGCCGGCCCAGUAAGUCCCCCGGGAAAUCUGGUCGCUUAACGAUCAGACUUCCGGGGGAUACUGCUGGGCUAGGGACCGGGAGAGGCCGAGGGUAUUCCCGGGGUAGGGGUGAAAU